rnacentral:tRNA from 1 species
GCCCCCUUAGCUCAGCGGCCAGAGCAGUGGUCUUCGGAACCAAAGGUCAGGGGUUCGAAUCCUCUAGGGGGCG